GAACGCUUCUUUCAUCCCGAGUGCUUGCACUCAAUUGGAAAGAGGAGUGGCGGACGGGUGAGUAACACGUGGGUAACCUACCCAUCAGAGGGGGAUAACACUUGGAAACAGGUGCUAAUACCGCAUAACAGUUUAUGCCGCAUGGCAUAAGAGUGAAAGGCGCUUUCGGGUGUCGCUGAUGGAUGGACCCGCGGUGCAUUAGCUAGUUGGUGAGGUAACGGCUCACCAAGGCCACGAUGCAUAGCCGACCUGAGAGGGUGAUCGGCCACACUGGGACUGAGACACGGCCCAGACUCCUACGGGAGGCAGCAGUAGGGAAUCUUCUGGCAAUGGACGAAAGUCUGACCGAGCAACGCCGCGUGAGUGAAGAAGGUUUUCGGAUCGUAAAACUCUGUUGUUAGAGAAGAACAAGGACGUUAGUAACUGAACGUCCCCUGACGGUAUCUAACCAGAAAGCCACGGCUAACUACGUGCCAGCAGCCGCGGUAAAUACGUAGGUGGCAAGCGUUGUCCGGAUUUAUUGGGCGUAAAAGCGAGCGCAGGCGGUUUCUUAAGUCUGAUGUGAAAGCCCCCGGGCUCAACCGGGGAGGGUCAUUGGAAACUGGGAGACUUGAGUGCAGAAGAGGAGAGUGGAAUUCCAUGUGUAGCGGUGAAAUGCGUAGAUAUAUGGAGGAACACCAGUGGCGAAGGCGGCUCUCUGGUCUGUAACUGACGCUGAGGCUCGAAAGCGUGGGGAGCAAACAGGAUUAGAUACCCUGGUAGUCCACGCCGUAAACGAUGAGUGCUAAGUGUUGGAGGGUUUCCGCCCUUCAGUGCUGCAGCAAACGCAUUAAGCACUCCGCCUGGGGAGUACGACCGCAAGGUUGAAACUCAAAGGAAUUGACGGGGGCCCGGCACAAGCGGUGGAGCAUGGUGGUUUAAUUCGAAGCAACGCGAAGAACCUUACCAGGUCUUGACAUCCUUUGACCACUCUAGAGAUAGAGCUUUCCCUUCGGGGACAAAGUUGAACAGGUGGUGCAUGGUUGUCGGUCAGCUUCGUGUCGUGAGAUGUUGGGUUAAGUCCCGCAACGAGCGCAACCCUUAUUGUUAGUUGCCAUCAUUUAGUUGGGCACUCUAGCGAGACUGCCGGUGACAAACCGGAGGAAGGUGGGGAUGACGUCAAAUCAUCAUGCCCCUUAUGACCUGGGCUACACACGUGCUACAAUGGGAAGUACAACGAGUCGCUAGAACCGCGAGGUCAUGCAAAUCUCUUAAAGCUUCUCUCAGUUCGGAUUGCAGGCUGCAACUCGCCUGCAUGAAGCCGGAAUCGCUAGUAAUCGCGGAUCAGCACGCCGCGGUGAAUACGUUCCCGGGCCUUGUACACACCGCCCGUCACACCACGAGAGUUUGUAACACCCGAAGUCGGUGAGUGUAAC
rnacentral:rRNA from 1 species